AUGGAGCUCUGCUGCUCGGGGGUCGCAAGCGGCGGCGGCGGGGCCGGUGCCGGGACACCUCGGGCACAGAAACCCAGGACUCCUCCCGGGUUCCUGACUGCCCCGCCCAGCAGGCGGCCGAGCAGCCGCGCCGGCUGCCGCCAGCUCGCGGCGCCGCCCUGCGGCGAACGAGUGGGCCGGCCCGGCGACGCGGGCAACGUCAUCCACAUGCUCAGUUCGGCCGCCGCCGCCGGCCCGGAGGAGGCCCUCGAGCUGUUCAGGUCCGUCGCGCGGCAGCCCAGGGUCGCCCACACCACGGAGUCGUGCAACUACAUGCUCGAGCUGAUGCGCGCGCACGGCCGGGUCGGGGACGUGGCCCAGGUGUUCGACCUAAUGCAGAGGCAGAUCGUCAAGGCCAAUGUGGGCACCUUCUGCACCGUCUUCGGGGCGGUCGGCGUCGAAGGGGGCCUCCGGAGCGCGCCGGUGGCCCUGCCGGUGAUGAAGGAGGCCGGGAUUGCCUUGAACGCCUACACCUACAACGGCCUCAUCUAUUUCCUCGUCAAGUCUGGCUUCGACGGGGAGGCCAUGGAGGUGUACAAGGCCAUGGCGGCGGAUGGCGUCGUGCCGACUGUCAGGACCUACUCCGUGCUGAUGCUGGCGUUUGGGAAGAGGAGGGACGCUGAGACUGUUGUUGGGCUGUUGGGCGAGAUGGAGGCUCGUGGAGUGAGGCCAAAUGUGUACAGCUACACCAUCUGCAUCCGGGUUCUUGGACAAGCUGGAAGAUUAGAGGAGGCGUACAGGAUUCUUCGCAAAAUGGAGGAAGAGGGGUGCAAGCCCGAUGUUGUCACCAAUACUGUGCUUAUACAGAUUCUCUGUGAUGCCGGGCGACUUGCUGAUGCCAAGGAUGUAUUUUGGAAGAUGAAAGCGAGUGACCAAAAACCUGAUAGAGUGACCUACAUUACUCUCCUAGACAAGUGCGGCGACAAUGGUGACUCGCGGUCAGUAAGUGAAAUAUGGAAUGCUUUGAAAGCUGAUGGGUAUAACGACAAUGUUGUUGCUUAUACUGCAGCUGUCGAUGCAUUGUGCCAAGUUGGGAGGGUCGAUGAAGCCUCAGAUGUUUUCGAUGAGAUGAAACAAAAGGGUAUCGUACCUCAGCAGUAUUCAUACAACUCCUUGAUAUCUGGAUUUCUUAAAGCUGAUAGGUUUAACCGUGCUCUGGAGCUGUUCAACCAUAUGAAUAUUCAUGGUCCUACUCCUAAUGGCUACACACAUGUUCUGUUCAUAAAUUACUAUGGAAAAUCUGGCGAAUCUCUGAAAGCACUUAAAAGGUAUGAGCUUAUGAAGAGCAAAGGAAUUAUUCCCGAUGUUGUUGCUGGUAAUGCUGUAUUGUAUGGUCUUGCUAAAUCUGGGCGGCUGGGAAUGGCAAAAAGGGUCUUCCAUGAAUUGAAAGCUAUGGGAAUUUCUCCAGAUAAUAUCACCUACACGAUGAUGAUCAAGUGUUGCAGCAAGGCAUCGAAUGCUGAUGAGGCCAUGAAGAUCUUCUCUGAAAUGAUCGAGAACAGAUGUGCUCCUGAUGUUCUUGCAAUGAAUUCUUUGAUUGAUAUGCUCUACAAGGCAGGCAGGGGAAAUGAAGCCUGGAAAAUCUUCUAUGAACUGAAAGAAAUGAACCUUGAACCCACUGACUGUACUUACAACACACUUUUGGCAGGAUUAGGAAGAGAAGGUAAAGUCAAGGAGGUAAUGCAACUGCUUGAAGGAAUGAACUCUAAUAGCUUUCCACCUAAUAUAAUAACGUACAAUACUGUUCUGGAUUGUCUCUGCAAAAAUGGGGAGGUGAACUAUGCACUGGGCAUGCUUUACAGUAUGACGAUGAACGGUUGCAUGCCUGACCUUUCAUCUUACAACACUGUGAUGCAUGGUCUUGUUAAAGAGGACAGAUUUGAUGAGGCAUUCUGGAUGUUUUGUCAGAUGAAAAAGGUUCUUGCUCCAGAUUACGCAACAGUGUGUACUAUCCUCCCGAGUUUUGUGAGGAGUGGAUUAAUGAAGGAAGCUCUGCAUAUUGUUAAAGAAUAUAUUCUUCAACCUGAUUCUAAAGUGGAUAGAUCUUCGGUCCAAUCACUGAUGGAAGGGAUACUGAAGAGGGAUGGUACAGAGAAGUCAAUUGAGUUUGCUGAAAACAUAGCAUCAAGUGGCAUUCUUCUGGAUGAUUUGUUUUUGUGCCCAAUAAUUAGGCACCUUUGCAAGCAUAAGGAGGCUCAGGCGGCACAUGAACUUGCCAAGAAGUUUGAGAAUUUUGGUGUUUCGCUAAAAAUUGGGUCAUAUAAUGCUCUUAUUUGCGGCCUUGUGGAUGAAGACCUGAUUGAUAUCGCUGAAGAGUUGUUCUCUGAGAUGAAGAGACUCGGAUGUGACCCUGAUGAGUUUACUUACCAUUUGAUUCUCGAUGCCAUGGGGAAGUCAAUGCGGAUUGGGGAUAUGCUGAAAGUCCAAGAAGAGAUGCAUAACAAGGGAUACAAAUCAACUUAUGUUACCUAUAACACAAUCAUUUCGGGUCUUGUAAAAUCAAAAAUGUUGGACGAGGCUAUAAACUUAUACUACCAGCUGAUGAGCGAAGGCUUCUCUCCCACCCCAUGUACAUAUGGUCCUCUUCUUGAUGGGCUGUUGAAAGAUGGAAAUGUUGAAGAUGCAGAAGCUCUUUUCGAUGAGAUGGUGGAGUGUGGCUGCGAGCCCAAUUGCGCCAUCUACAACAUUCUGCUCAAUGGAUAUCGAUUAGCAGGUGACACAGAGAAAGUUUGUGAGCUCUUUGAGAACAUGGUGGAGCAGGGGAUAAACCCAGAUAUAAAAUCAUACACAGUUGUCAUCGACACCCUCUGCGCAGACGGGCGGUUGAAUGAUGGCCUGUCUUACUUCAAACAGCUGACAGAUAUGGGACUUGAGCCUGACCUCAUCACCUAUAACUUGCUCAUACACGGUCUAGGUAAAUCUGGAAGACUAGAGGAGGCACUCUCCCUCUACAAUGACAUGGAGACAAAAGGAAUCGCCCCGAACCUGUACACGUACAACUCACUGAUCCUCUACCUGGGAAAAGCAGGGAAGGCCGCUGAAGCCGGCAAAAUGUACGAAGAACUGCUGGCGAAAGGCUGGAAGCCCAAUGUUUUCACAUACAACGCCCUUAUCCGAGGGUACAGUGUUUCUGGCAGCCCUGAAAAUGCCUUUGCGGCCUACGGUCGGAUGAUUGUUGGAGGGUGCCGGCCUAAUUCGAGCACCUACAUGCAACUUCCAAAUCAAAUGUUGUAA
rnacentral:rRNA from 1 species